GUCUACAACCAUGCCACCCUGAACAAGCCCAAUGUCUGAUCUUGGAAGCUAAGCAGGGUGGAGCCUGGUUAGUACUUGAGUAGGAGACCACCUAGGAAGACCAAGUGCUGUAGGCA
rnacentral:rRNA from 1 species